GUACUUGCCUGUUUUCUUUGAUGUUAAUGUGAAGUCAGGACCUUCACCUCCCAUAAGACAAAUACAGAAACAGUGAGGUCGAUCAGAAGACACAUAGUUUAAAGGAAAAUAUUAAUUGGACAACAUAGCAAAAAAAAAAAAAAAGAAAGAUUUCCUCUUCACAGACAUUGUGCUUCUAACCCUCCAGGCUUUAUCGUCAUGCCUCAGCUGCCUUUUCACCCUGGAACAUGUCUUCAUCAUGCUGGCCCCCUUCUCUCACUGAUGAAUUCCUUUCAAAUGGCCUUUUUUUUGUGGAUAAGCCCAAUGAGGGUUUAUUUCAAAAUUCCACUCUAAGUAUGCCCAUUUCCUUUUAAAGAAUAUUUGUGACAUUGGAGUUAU